AUUGAACGCUGGCGGCAGGCCUAACACAUGCAGGUCGAGCGGAUGAAGGGAGCUUGCUCCUGGAUUCAGCGGCGGACGGGUGAGUAAUGCCUAGGAAUCUGCCUGGUAGUGGGGGAUAACGUCCGGAAACGGGCGCUAAUACCGCAUACGUCCUGAGGGAGAAAGUGGGGGAUCUUCGGACCUCACGCUAUCAGAUGAGCUUAGGUCGGAUUAGCUAGUUGGUGGGGUAAAGGCCUACCAAGGCGACGAUCCGUAACUGGUCUGAGAGGAUGAUCAGUCACACGGGAACUGAGACACGGUCCAGACUCCUACGGGAGGCAGCAGUGGGGAAUAUUGGACAAUGGGCGAAAGCCUGAUCCAGCCAGGCCGCGUGUGUUAAGAAGGUCUUCGGAUUGUAAAGCACGUUAAGUUGGGAGGAAGGGCAGUAAGUUAAUACCUUGCUGUUUUGACGUUACCAACAGAAGAAGCACCGGCUAACUUCGUG
rnacentral:rRNA from 1 species